rnacentral:rRNA from 1 species
AGAGUUUGAUCAUGGCUCAGGAUGAACGCUAGCUACAGGCUCAACACAUGCAAGUCGAGGGGAAACGACAUCGAAAGCUUGCUUUUGAUGGGCGUCGACCGGCGCACGGGUGAGUAACGCGUAUCCAACCUGCCCAUCACUUGGGGAUAACCUUGCGAAAGUAAGACUAAUACCCAAUGAUAUCUCUAGAAGGCAUCUGAAAGAGAUUAAAGAUUUAUCGGUGAUGGAUGGGGAUGCGUCUGAUUAGCUUGUUGGCGGGUAACGGCCACCAAAGCAACGAUCAGUAGGGGUUCUGAGAGGAAGGUCCCCCANAUUGGAACUGAGACACGGUCCAAACGUCCUACGGGAGC